rnacentral:rRNA from 1 species
CGUAGGGUGCGAGCGUUAAUCGGAAUUACUGGGCGUAAAGCGUGCGUAGGCGGCCAACUAAGUCGGACGUGAAAUCCCCAGGCUCAACCUGGGAACUGCGUCCGAUACUGGAUGGCUUGAAUCCGGUAGAGGGGGAUGGAAUUCCGCGUGUAGCAGUGAAAUGCGUAGAUAUGCGGAGGAACACCGAUGGCGAAGGCAAUCCCCUGGACCUGUACUGACGCUCAUGCACGAAAGCGUGGGGAGCAAACAGGAUUAGAUACCCUGGUAGUCCACGCCCUAAACGAUGUCAACUGGUUGUUGGGUCUUUACUGACUCAGUAACGAAGCUAACGCGUGAAGUUGACCGCCUGGGGAGUACGGCCGCAAGGCUG